UAAAAUGAUGCCGGGAAAUGUUCAUUCCAAAAUGAUCUGCUAAAUCAAAAUAACACUCAGAUUAGAAAAACACACAAACAUAAGGAAUAAACCCUUUAUAGACAUAGGGGAAAAGGGGGGAUGGGCCGAGGGCUAAUUUCUUAUGGACAAAAGUUUUCACGCAAAUCUAAAACACCUUUAUAGAUUAGAAACCGAUUAGAAUCCGAGGUACAAUGGUCUUAUAAUUUUUAAAGAAUUAAAUAAAUACGUAUUUGUAAAAUAAACCCAUCAGUGCUAAAAAGAUAGAGAAAUAGUCUAAAAACUCGCACAGAC
rnacentral:lncRNA from 1 species